UACGGGGGGGGCAAGCGUUGUUCGGAAUUACUGGGCGUAAAGAGCUCGUAGGUGGUUUGUCGCGUUGUUCGUGAAAACUCACAGCUUAACUGUGGGCGUGCGGGCGAUACGGGCAGACUAGAGUACUGCAGGGGAGACUGGAAUUCCUGGUGUAGCGGUGGAAUGCGCAGAUAUCAGGAGGAACACCGGUGGCGAAGGCGGGUCUCUGGGCAGUAACUGACGCUGAGGAGCGAAAGCGUGGGGAGCGAACAGG
rnacentral:rRNA from 1 species